rnacentral:pre_miRNA from 1 species
CCUUGGGAUCUUGGUAAAAUGAAGGUGCUAAUUGUUAGGUCAGGCCCCAAAACCUGCAUUUUUAGCAAGCUCCUUGGAGAUG